GUCGCAAUGGAUGAUUUUCUUAAAUUGGAGAGAUUGUCGAUUAUUUCAAAAGUAAAUGAACAAAUAGAGAAUUUUGUUGGAAGAAAGUCUAUAAAUAUUGCCGAAAAAGUUGUCGAACUCUCAGAACUUGACUCCUCAUUUGAAAAUAUUUUUGAAAUGUUUGCAAAAAACGAAAUCCACGUAUCAGCUGACUUUAUAGAAAAUCUCAUCACUCUCAUAAACAAAAUGAAGUCGGCUUCAAUCUCCAUCUGCAAAAAAGAGACUCAUUCUUCAAAAAAAGAUCAAAACUCGUCGAGGACCACUACACAUUCCAGGGAAGCCAAACCUUCAAAACAGAUAGAAGACAGCGACAUUCUUCUACAGAAAGCAGGAGGAAAAGAACUCACAAAGUAUAUAUUUUAUUCAUUUCAGAUCAAAUCGUGAUAAAAGUAGAAGAUCUCGUGAACGAGACGAAGAAAGGUCAUCCAGGAAACGACAACGUGAUCACCACAGCCAUUCUCGCCGACAUAGAAGAUCCAGAUCCCGUUCCAGGACAGUUUUGCCGUUAGAUCCAGAAAUAAACAGCAUUUACAGCGGAAGAAUAACCACAAUUAAGGAUUUUGGGUGUUUUGUUGAAAUAUUUGGACUGAGGCAAAGAAGAGAAGGCCUCGUGCAUAUUUCGAAUGUAAAAAUACCAGUUUUAAUGUGUAGAUCAAAGAUGAGCGGAUUGGGAGUGUCAGAGACGUCGUGGAGGUCGGGCAGAGUGUGAAAGUGAAGGUCACUGAGAUCAAAGAACACGGCAAAAUAUCGCUCGUUAUGAAAGGAAUUGAUCAGGAGACAGGAGAUGACUUGAUUGGGGGAGGAGAGACGUUAUAUACUCCUUUGGGGGACAUGGAACAUUCCAGAAAUCCCGACAGACCAGAUUUGGGGACUCGGACACAAACCAAUCCAAAUUACCGAAAGCAGAUGAACCGGAAGCUGAACAGGAUUUCUUCCCCUGAGAGAUUUGAGUUGGCACAAAUGCGGGCUGGGAACUGUCUUGGGCGGAAUCAGAUUUACACUGAUUUGGACGGUGAUGACCAGGCUAUUUGUGACGAUUCUUCUGGUGACGACGAUGUGGAGAUUGAGCAAGUCAAACAACGUCCUCCAUUUUUGCACGAUUUCUCAAAGACCUCCCAAGGAGAUUUAU
rnacentral:lncRNA from 1 species